GACCCCAGGUCAGGCGGGGCCACCCGCUGAGUUUAAGCAUAUCAAUAAGCGGAGGAAAAGAAACUUACCAGGAUUCCCCUAGUAACGGCGAGCG
rnacentral:rRNA from 1 species